UAUAUACUCUCUCCGUCCGGAAUUACUUGUCGCUUAAACUGAUGUAUCUAGCACUAAAAUACGUCUAGAUACAUCCGUUUGAGCGACAGGUAAUUCCGGACGGAUGAAGUAUUAU
rfam:Hordeum vulgare subsp. vulgare, WGS project CAJW01000000 data, contig: morex_contig_46106